CCUACCGAUUGAAUGGUCCGGUGAAGUGUUCGGAUCGCGGCGACGUGGGCGGUCCGCCGCCGGCGACGUCGCGAGAAGUCCACUGAACCUUAUCAUUUAGAGGAAGGAGAAGUCGUAACAAGGUUUCCGUAGGUGAACCUGCGGAAGGAUCAUUGCCGUCUCUGGAACCACCACCGGCGAACCAGUCCCGCGACGACGCCGCUCGCGGCGCGCGGCCCGGGGGACGACCCGGGGACGCGCGUCCGGACGAGCUCCGAACAACCCUCUGGGCGCGGCGAGCGCCAAGGAAUUAUCGAAGCGGAAGGGGCGGCCGCCCGGCCCGGUGCGGCGGGGACCGGCCGCCCGCCUGUGAAUCUUUUAGACGACUCUCGGCAACGGAUAUCUCGGCUCUCGCAUCGAUGAAGAACGUAGCGAAAUGCGAUACUUGGUGUGAAUUGCAGAAUCCCGUGAACCAUCGAGUCUUUGAACGCAAGUUGCGCCCGAGGCCACUCGGCCGAGGGCACGCCUGCCUGGGCGUCACGCCACCCGUCGCCCCCACCCCCCACGCCCGGGGCGGGGAGCGGAGAAUGGCCGUCCGUGCCCGAGCCCUCGGCGCGCGGUCGGCGGAAAAAGGAGGACACCGUGCGGCGCGGCACGGCGUGUGGGGGUUGAGAGGCGAUCCGUCGCCGAUCGUACGCCGCGCCCGCAUUCCGCCGCGCGGAUCCACCGGCGGGACCAGACCCGCCCGCAGCCGCGGGCGCUCGGACCGCGACCCCAGGUCAGGCGUGGCCACCCGCUGAAUUUAAGCAUAUCAAUAAGCGGAGGAGAAGAAACUUACGAGGAUUCCCCUAGUAACGGCGAGCGAACCGG
rnacentral:rRNA from 1 species